rnacentral:rRNA from 1 species
GCCAAUCUAAGCCCUAUUAGUUAUUAACAAAAUUAUUUUAACCAUUAACCAAAACAUUUACAUAUCCUAGUAUAGGCGAUAGAAUAGGAAAAUUGGCGCAAUAACGUAAGUACCGUAAGGGAAAAUUGAAAGACUAAUUCAAAGCACAAUAAAGCAAAGAUUUAACCUUCUACCUUUUGCAUAAUGAUCUAGCUAGUUAAAUCGGACAAAAAGAAUUACGCCCGCCUCCCCGAAAUUAAGUGAGCUACUAUAGAACAGUAUUAGAACCAACUCGUCUAUGUAGCAAAAUAGUGAGAAGAYUCUAUAGUAGCGGUGAAAAGCCAACCGAACUUAAAGAUAGCUGGUUAUCCAAAAUAUGAAUCUUAGUUCAACUUUAAAUUUAAUAAAAGUACUAUAAAACUCAAUUUAAAUUUAAAAGCUAWUCGAAAGAGGGACAACUCUUUGGAUUAUGUAAACAAACUUGCUUAGAGGAUAAUGACUUAUAUAAACAUACAUUGUGGGCCUAAAAGCAGCCAUCAAUAACGAAAGCGUUAAAGCUCAAAUUCACUAACUAUUUAAUACCAAUAAUACUACCAAAAUCCCUAACUAAUUAUUGGAUGAUCCUACAAAUAUGUAGAAGACAUAAUGCUAAAAUGAGUAACUAGAAAAACUUCUCCUUGCACAAGCUUAUAUUAGCAACGGAAAUCCCACUAACAAUUAACAAACCAAUAAUUUAAAUUACACACAAGCACUAUUAUUACACCUAUUGUUAACCCAACACAGGCGUGCAACAAGGAAAGAUUAAAAAGAAUAAAAGGAACUCGGCAAACAAAAACCCCGCCUGUUUACCAAAAACAUCACCUCUAGCAUUACAAAUAUUAGAGGCAUCGCCUGCCCAGUGAGUCAAACUUCAACGGCCGCGGUAUCCUGACCGUGCAAAGGUAGCAUAAUCACUUGUCUCUUAAAUAGAGACUUGUAUGAAUGGCAUCACGAGGGUUUAACUGUCUCUUAUCCUCAAUCAGUGAAAUUGACCUUCCCGUGCAGAGGCAGGAAUAAUCUUACAAGACGAGAAGACCCUGUGGAGCUUAAGAUUCAUAGUCUAAUUUUACCAAAUUCCAACCUACGGGAAUAAUAACCAAACUUAAUAGACUAUAACCUUUGGUUGGGGUGACCUCGGAGCACAAAAUAACCUCCGAAUGACUAAACCUAGAUCUACAAAUCAAAGUGCAUCAAUACCAGUAAUUGACCCAUAUUUUGAUCAACGGAACAAGUUACCCCAGGGAUAACAGCGCAAUCCUAUUUAAGAGCCCAUAUCGACAAUUAGGGUUUACGACCUCGAUGUUGGAUCAGGACAUCCCAAUGGUGUAACCGCUAUUAAUGGUUCGUUUGUUCAACGAUUAAAGUCCUACGUGAUCUGAGUUCAGACCGGAGAAAUCCAGGUCGGUUUCUAUCUGUAUAUUUAUUUCUCCCAGUACGAAAGGACAAGAGAAAUAAGGCCAACGUUACUUACAAGCCUUCGAGACAAGAUAUGAACGCAUCUAAAUAUCUUAACUCAAUACUUCCAACCUCCAGAUAAGAGCUA